UUUAUUUUACUUUAUUUUUUUCAAAAUUAUUUUUAUUUUACUUAUCGCACUUGUAUAUAACUUAACAAAGUUUGUUAUGUUUCAAUUACACGCUUUGAUUUAACAUAAUGAGAAUCGUAUUUUAUUCCUAAAUUUAGAAACUUUAAGGAAACUUACUGUAAAGAAGGAAUUAUAUCCGAUUAAAUUAGUGGAAAACAUAAAUUUAAAUUAGAAAAACAAAGUAAAAAAUUAAGCUAAUAAGUGCGCAUUCUUAGAAGUACGUAACUCAAAAGUGUGUAUUUAAAGUAAGGAGUGUAAUCUUAAACAAACAUCUGUAACAGACAUAAACAUAAACACAGGAUUUACUUCUCGAUCGUAAAUUAUAAAAGUAAAAUCAAAAAAUAAGAAGAAUAGAUUGGUUGCAUGCUCUUAAAAAUGUAGUAAAGAAGAUAAGCCAUUUAAAAUGUAAAAGAGUCCAUUUGAAAACAACGAGAAGAGUUCCAAUGCCCAAAAUCCUCCACUAAUCCUGAAUGUGAUAAAGAAGAAUAUGACGAAGGAUUUCCUUUAUUCUCUACGCCUUUUCAGGAAAUAAUGCUGAUUAACAUAUCCUGAAUACGUUUUAAACGAAACUUAAUUUGGAUUUAACAAUAUAAAUGCCAAAUAAGAUUUGUAAGAUGGAAGAUUUCGUCGAAAAUGAUGUAAUUUCUUCCGUUGAGUUAAUCAUUUAAUCAAAAUUUCUAAAACGGAUAUUGCUCGCUUAUAACAUUUUAAAUUAAUUCUAACUAA